CCUAUUAAAUAUUUCUCAACAGAAUUUUUCAUACAACAGAGGGAAGAAAUGUCACAGGAAGUGGUGGUCUUUGGAUGGCCUGGUCUUGCUGGGUUCACAGGGAUGAAAGGCUCUGGCAUCCAGAGUGUCUGGUGAGGGCACAGCUGCACUGGCUUAGCCUUGACUGGCCUGCAGGAGGGGUGGGGUCACACCUGAGGGUGGGGCAGGGGAUGAGCUCACCCCCAUACACAGUCCCCCUUGGUCCCCCUUGGUCCACCUGGGUAGGCUGAAGAGCUCAGAGCAGGCCCUGAAAAUGGGCUUGGGCUACUUGGCAGGGGUUUUGGGGUCUGGGUGCCUGGUACCUGGUAGUUAGGAGUGGGGGCUUCUCAUGGCCACACCUCCUUGCCUGUGGUGGGGGGGGCUCAGGGCACAUUGUGCACACCUGUACACCUGAUAAGUUGGGUGACACUCACUGAGAGAGGUUGAAGAUGACCCAGGGACCAAGGCAGCACAUAUGCAUGGGUCAGAGCCUCCACAGGGUUGGCAGAUCUGCAGAUUCAAUGCAACUCCAGUCAAGAUACCACAUUCUUCCUGGCAUGUGAGGAGCUGAAUCUGGAACCACACAGAACGUGAAGGGCCGGGUGACUCUGGGAGCAGAAGGAUGAGGACGGACCUGCUCUGACGACACUCUGGCUUGCAAGAGGGUCCAGAAUCAGGGCAGUAUGGCUGGGGACAGGCUGGGCAGUGGUGACCUGUGAGCCCCCACUCCUAACUACCAGGUUCCUAGAGCAGGAAACUACCCUGCAACAGGUGAUGCUGCUGCUGCCUGGGCCACGGGCGGCUCUUCCUCAGAUUCAGGUCAGAAGGGCAUUUGCUCACAUUCCCUAAAGAAACAAAGGGUUGGGGCCAGGCACAGCGGCUCACACCUAUAAUGUCAGCACUUUGGGAGG
rnacentral:lncRNA from 1 species